UUAGUAGAGUGGGGUUUCACCAUAUUGGCCAGGAUGGUCUCGAACUCCUGACCUCAGGUGAUUCACCCGCCUUGGCCUCCCAAAGUGCUGGAAUUACAGGCAUGAGUCACUGCAUCCGGUCCCUUCAUUUCUGUUACAAGCAAUUAAACCUUGGCAUAAGAGAAUUUUGAAAUUUUUUUUGUCCCCAGACAGCUUCACACCAUGCUUUACAGGGGGCACAUAUAUUUGAGAGAAUUCUUCAAGUUUAUGACUGUACAAAUGACUGAAAGCUUAACAAAGACCUUCUAAGCUUUAGACUUAUUGCAAGAAGGCAGUCAGCCAAAAUAGAGCGCCCAUGACAUAUUCUCCUUAUCUCACCAAAAGGAACUUGUGCUGUGCUAAAGGAAAAUAUUGCACUUGUAUUUCCCAAGAUGUCUCAGAGAUUUUCAACAUUAGCAAAGAGAUUAGAGAAACUUCAAAAAAUUUCAAAUGAUAACAACCUGGUCAAUAUUCCUUUGUCUGGGCCAGGCACGGUGGCUCAUACUUGUAAUCCCAGCACUUUGAGAGGCCGAGGCAGGUGGAUCCCUUGAACCCAGGAGUUCGAGACCAGCCUGGCCAACAUGGCGGAACCCCAUCUCUACCAAAAGUACAAAAAUUAGCUGGGCUUGGUGGUGCACACCUGUAGUUACAGCUACUCACUCAGGAGGCUGAGGUGGGAGAAUCACCUGAGCCUGGGAGUUCGAGGCUGCGGUGAGCUGAGAUCAUGCCACUGCACUUCAGCCUGGGUGACAGAAUGAGACUCUAUCUCAAACAAAAAACAUUUCUUUGUCUUAUCCCCAUACUUCAGGUCAAAAAGAGGGUUUAAUCUGUGAAAACUUGGAUCAUGAUUUUGGUGCACUUUCCAGUCCUUCCUUAUUCUACUAGUUGUAGGCUGGGUAUGGUGGCUCACACCUGUAAUCCCAGCACUUCGGGAGACCAAGGCAGGCGGAUCACCUGAGGUCAGGAGUUUGAGACCACCAUGGCCAACAUGACGAAACUUCGUCUCUACUAAAAAUACAACAAUUAGCGGGGUGUGGUGGCGCACCUGUAAUUCCAGCUACUAGGGAGGCUAAGGCAUGUGAAUUGCUUGAACCCAGGAGGUGGAGGGUGCAGUGAGCUGAGAUCGCACCACUGCACUCCAGCCUGGGUGAUGGAGUGAGACUGACUCUAAAAAAAAAAAAAAAUCUAGUCCUGUGUGUGU
rnacentral:lncRNA from 1 species